rnacentral:lncRNA from 1 species
CUGCAUUCCAUCCACAGCCCCUGAACAGCUUCACGGACGCUUGGUUGCUGGGAUUCAUCUGUCUUGCUGCUGCCCAAGUCCCUAUGCAUUGGCUUCUCCCAUCAACUGGAGACUUGAUAAAGAAGAUGUGGUAUUUUUAUAAAACAGAGUACUACUCAGCCAUAAAGAACGAGAAACUAGAGACAUCUACGGCUAAGUGGAUGCACAUUGUGGCCAUACUCAAGUGAAAUUAAUUAGACACACGUGUGUAAAUACCGUAUCGUUUCUCUGGUGUGAUAGACUAAAAGUGUAAAUAAGGGUCAGCAUGUAUAACUGACAUUGCGUAGCAGGAAGAAAAGGUCUAAAGGUAUUGGGUAAAUGGGAGGGGUAGGGGAAAGGUAAAAAGGGAAGAGAAAAAAGAGAAAAGGAAAAAAUGGAAACAAAGUCUUUGUAAAUAGGGAAGAGUGGAGGGGUGGGGGAGGCUAGGGGAAUGGGGAAAAAAGAACCAAGAUACUCGUGUAAAGGUACGUGAUCCCAGUGAUGAGAGCAGCUGUACUGUAUACCUACAGUGUACGAACAGAAGAAAAGCGCACUGGCUUCUGUCCCUAAUAAACUGCACUCUGCGUCCGCCUCUUUCUUCUUCGGUCUCUCAGCACCUUCCUCCCACCAGUUCUUUCCCACCCCACCCCAGGGUUUCAGAACAAGCACAGUAGGGUGCUUUAUCUGAAGUCAUUGGGCAGCAGCCAGCGUCACCUACGCCAAAGGCGAUGUCUGCUUCCGCCUCCCCUGGGGAGCUGCAGGCCGCAUUCUUGCCCUCUUCUCCGAUUUCUGCAGAAAUCAGUCAUGGAACGUUUGAACAUUCCAGUGAUAGAAUUCGUGGAGAAGAGAAGGUCGUGGCCUUGCCUCAUCCUGCUACUCGGUUUAUAGCACAGACAUCUAAUUUCAAAGAGCUGAGCAACACCCAUCCCUCUUCCGCAAGUUGGUCUGGUUUUCUUAGGAUUGGGCACUGCAGCUGUACAGAUCACCACAGCCACCACGAGGGGGUGUGUGACCUUGGAAUUACUUCUGUCUCCUCAACUACAAGAGUUCCUGAGACCGGUAAAAUCCCAGGUUUCCUAUUCUGCACCAGUUCAAUUCUAGAAUAAUCUUGGGUCAAGGCCUAGGGAAUUGGUUAAGUUCAGCUGGUCACUUCUGGUUCUACCUCAUUCCACUAUCAGACCAUGGAAGCCUCAUAAAGAUAAAAGGGUAAUAAAUUGCCUUUGUAUUCUAAGUGUUCUGUGUAGCAGACAUCCCUGCCCGGCACUGUGGGCUGAGUGGCACGUGCUUCCUGCCUUCCCUAAUUCCACUCUGCUGUUUUAUAUCAGGAGUCAGACUGAAGCCCUGAGUGACUCAGACGGGCCUGGCAGCUGGAGGUCCUGGUAACGUCCCCUUCCCCGCUCCUUACAGUUCUGUGCAUUAAAACCCACUGUUCAGGAUGGGGAUGUAGCCCAAGGUCCUGGACGAGGCCCUCAGCGUCAUUUAAAAAAUAUUCUGAGGAGGUUGUGGCCACCAAGGGGACCUCUAUGGAAGAAAGGGCAAGAAACGCACACAUGGGGUAAAGGCUUCCUCCAGACCUCAGCUCUGCUGCGGAAUUCUCACAGGACCACAGGAGGGACCCUGCCAAGGUCAGGAAUGCUUUAUUCCACGGCAGGGCCUUCCACAUAGCAUUGUUCUUUACCAGAAACUCGUUCGACAGAGCACGGGGUUAACGCGCUGGUUUGACCCUGGAGAAGCCACCGUGAUGGGAUGGUGGGAGUGCUAGCUGGAUGACAUCUUGAGGCCCUAAGCACUGUCCUGCAGGAGGCAGGACAUGCCCGGCUAGUUACCAAGAGAGGGUGCUGCGUCUCCAGUGGGGAGAGUAGAGGCAGCUACUCGCACUUUACCACAAGGGAACGUUUUCUUUCCCACCCUCCC